GGUGGCCUCUGCUUGCAAGCUAUCGCCUGAAGAGGGGUUCGUGUCCCAUCGGCUAGUUGGUAGGGUAAUGGCUUACCAAGCUAAGACGGGUAGCUGGUCUGAGAGGACGACCAGCCACAUUGGCACUGAAACACGGGCCAAACUCCUACGGGAGGCAGCAGUGGGGAAUAUUGCGCAAUGGGCGAAAGCCUGACGCAGCGACGCCGCGUGAGGGAAGAAGGUCUUCGGGUCGUAAACCUCUGUCAGGUGGGAAGAAUCUCUCCUUAUCAAAUAAGAUUUGGAGAGUUGACGGUACCACCAAAGGAAGCACCGGCUAACUCCGUG
rnacentral:rRNA from 1 species